rnacentral:piRNA from 1 species
UGGCGGUCCUUCUGAUUUCCAACCUCAUGC